GACGAACCGUGCUAACGUUGUUCGGAAUCACUGGGCUUAAAGGGCGCGUAGGCGGGCCAUCAAGUCCGGGGUGAAAGCCCCCAGCUCAACUGGGGAAGUGCCUCGGAUACUGGCGGCCUCGAGGGAGGUAGGGGCGUGCGGAACUUCCGGUGGAGCGGUGAAAUGCGUAGAGAUCGGAAGGAACGCCGGUGGCGAAAGCGGCACGCUGGACCGUCUUCUGACGCUGAGGCGCGAAAGCCAGGGGAGCAAACGGGG
rnacentral:rRNA from 1 species